rnacentral:tRNA from 1 species
GAGGCCUUAACUUUAUUAAAGUGUUUGAGUUGCAGUCAAGUGAUGUGGAUANGUAUUCUACAGGUCUU